CUCGGGAAUGAAACGCUAGCUACAGGCUUAACACACGCAAGUCGAGGGGAAAACGAUAGAGAAAGCUUGCUUUUUUCUAGGCGUCGACCGGCGCACGGGUUGAGUAACGCGUAUCCAACCUGCCCAUCACUUGGGGAUAACCUUGCGAAAGUAAGAACUAAUACCCAAUGAUAUCCGUCGAGGACAUCUGAAGUGGAUUAAAGAUUUAUCGGUGAUGGAUGGGGAUGCGUCUGAUUAGCUUGUUGGCGGGGUAACGGCCCACCAAGGCGACGAUCAGUAGGGGUUCUGAGAGGAAGGUCCCCCACAUUGGAACUGAGACACGGUCCAAACUCCUACGGGAGGCAGCAGUGGGGAAUAUUGGUCAAUGGACGAGAGUCUGAACCAGCCAAGUAGCGUGCAGGAUGACGGCCCUAUGGGUUGUAAACUGCUUUUAUAAGGGAAUAAAGUGAGCCUCGUGAGGCUUUUUGCAUGUACCUUAUGAAUAAGGACCGGCUAAUUCCGUGCCAGCAGCCGCGGUAAUACGGAAGGUCCGGGCGUUAUCCGGAUUUAUUGGGUUUAAAGGGAGCGUAGGCCGGAGAUUAAGCGUGUUGUGAAAUGUAGACGCUCAACGUCUGCACUGCAGCGCGAACUGGUUUCCUUGAGUACGCACAAAGUGGGCGGAAUUCGUGG
rnacentral:rRNA from 1 species